CUGGUUGAUCCUGCCAGUGAUCAUAUGCUUGUCUCANAGCUUAAGCCAUGCAAGUCUAAGUUCAGGCUUGUUCCUUUCGGGGAGCGAGCCGAAACUGCGAACGGCUCAUUAGUCAGAUAAGGUUCCUUGGCUAAAAGCGGGUCGGUUUUAAUGGAUAACUGUGGUAAUUCUAGAGCUAAUACAUGCAACGCACCGUGGUCCCCGUAGUCUUCUCGUCUCGGGGAAACGGCAUUUAUUCUCUGGACCAGAUCGCCCUAGCCUGCGAAGCUACCGUCAAAAGUAGCGACGGGGCGAAGCGACAAGUGUUGAAAUCCGAAUAACUGUGCCGAUCGCGGGGUCUUUCCGGGCCCCCGACGACUUUGCCAUGAAGUGUCUGUCCCAUCAAUUGGCGAUGGUCGGCGACCUGCCUACCACGGUGUUGACGGGUAACGGGGAAUCAGGGUUCGAUUCCGGAGAGGGAGCCUGCGAAACGGCUACCACCUCCAAGGAGGGCAGCAGGCGCGCAACUUACCCAAUCCCGACACGGGGAGGUAGUGACGAAAAAUAACGUGGCGGGGCCCUUUCGUGGUCGCCGCGGGCGGAAUGAGCGCAAUUUAAAAGAGUGUGCGAGGANNNNNNNNN
rnacentral:ncRNA from 1 species